AGGGGUAUAGCUCAGUUUGGUAGAGCAGCGGUCUCCAAAACCGCGUGUCGUGGGUUCGACUCCUACUGCCCCUG
rnacentral:tRNA from 1 species